rnacentral:rRNA from 1 species
GACGAACGCUGGCGGCGUGCCUAAUACAUGCAAGUAGGACGCAGUUGCGAACGGUUGAGUAACGCGUAGGUAACUACCUAUUAGAGGGGGAUAACUAUUGGAUACGAUCGCUAAUACCGCAUACUAGUAGAUGGACCUGCGUUGUAUUAGCUAGUAGGUGGGGUAAUGGCCUACCUAGGCAACGAUACAUAGCCGACCCGGGAGGGUGAUUGGGCAAAAGUGGACUGGGGACAGGGCCAGAACCCUAAGGGAGGGAGGAGGAGGGAAUUGUCGGGAAUGGGGGGAAACCUUACCGAGGCAAUGCGCGGGAGUGAAGAAGGGUUUCGGAGUGUAAAGCUCUUUUGGUAAGGAAGCGGUACUUAACCAGAAAGGGACGGCUAACUACGUGCCAGCAGCCGCGGUAAUAC